GGAUGCGAUCAUACCAGCACUAAAGCACCGGAUCCCAUCAGAACUCCGAAGUUAAGCGUGCUUGGGCGAGAGUAGUACUAGGAUGGGUGACCUCCUGGAAAGUCCUCGUGUUGCAUUCC
rnacentral:rRNA from 4 species